GAAAAUGUACUGAAUACACAAUGUUCUAGAAUAUUCAUAUUGUUUGGUGGCAGAACAAAAGAUGAAUACAUAAUUUAAUGGAGAAAUGCCAAAAGAUUGAUGUGAAGAUUUUAGGGGACAAGUAAUAAUUCGCACGGAAUAGCUUUUGUGUUGGGGGGUCCGCGACAGCCGAGCGGUAGCGCCGGUUAGAAAAUCGUCCCAUGAGCGCCGGGGCUCACCACCUCGACGGCGUGGGUUCGAAUCCCAACCGAGACCGGACCCUCCCCUGUACGAGAGGGACUGACUAUCCACGUACAACAGGGAAACAAGUCUCGUAAGCCCUUAAACGGGCAGGCAUGACCAAGAGGUCGUUACGCCAAGAAGAAGAAGCUUUUGUGUUCCGUAGGCGUGAUAAAAUUCUUACCGUAUUAUUCUGUGUAUAACGACCCCGUUUUAGUUCAUAAAUUAUCAAAGUCCGAUUAAGUGGGUCGUUAUACACAGGUAGUAACUUUUCCAUUCGAUCAUAGAGUGGAGGUUAAAACACGUACAACAUUGUUACAACUGAUGAAAUGUAGAAAACAAAUUUUUUCAAUUUUUUUCAUAAACAUAAAAAAAUUGUUUUUUGGGGUCGUUAUACACUGAAAAAUACGGUACUUUGCUAUGUUGACAAUGAAGGAAAAAUUGUAAACAGCGGUUGGCUGGUAUGUUGCAAUGUUUCGUUUUGUCAGAAAUAUGUGCAAUGUGAUGUUCAUAAUUUAAUUUGAAUUUUUAAUGACGGCAAAUUUCCUUCCAAAUAAUGUGUGUAACCGAAUAUUAUGGCGUACUAUUGGUACUUAUCAAAAGCUGCAUUAUAACUAGGCAUCGUGAUGAGGUUGGGUUUGUGAUGUGACGUGUUGUUGAUGUUGGAUAGUGAAUGUGUGCCAACGGUAAGGGAUAAUUGCUACGGUAUGUGCAACGGAAAGAACAUCACUACUGCAGUCCAAGGUAAAUGCUUAAAUUUUUUCCUAGGUUGUUUUGGUUUGAACUUGAUAGUUUCAUAAGCCUCAUAAGCCUCAGAGAGGCGAAAAACUUUUUCGGAACUCACGUUUUUCGCGACUGUGAGUGCCGAAAAACUUUUUCACAAUCUGUGGAUGGACUACGAAAAUGGUAGCGAAAUAAGGGUGAACAUGUUUUGACAGCUCAAAUCUAAGCAAACUGUUCUGCCGUGGUGCGUAUUAUCACUGGU